rnacentral:rRNA from 1 species
GACGAACGCUGGCGGCGUGCUUAACACAUGCAAGUCGAACGGAAAGGCCCUGCUUGCAGGGUACUCGAGUGGCGAACGGGUGAGUAACACGUGGGUGAUCUGCCCUGCACUUCGGGAUAAGCCUGGGAAACUGGGUCUAAUACCGGAUAGGAGCCAUUUUUAGUGUGAUGGUUGGAAAGUUUUUUCGGUGUAGGGUGAGCUCGCGGCCUAUCAGCUUGUUGGUGGGGUAAUGGCCUACCAAGGCGGCGACGGGUAGCCGGCCUGAGAGGGUGGACGGCCACAUUGGGACUGAGAUACGGCCCAGACUCCUACGGGAGGCAGCAGUGGGGAAUAUUGCACAAUGGGCGCAAGCCUGAUGCAGCGACGCCGCGUGGGGGAUGACGGCCUUCGGGUUGUAAACUCCUUUCGCUAGGGACGAAGCUUUUUGUGACGGUACCUAGAUAAGAAACACCGGCUAACUACGU